GAGUUUGAACCUGGCUCAGGACGAACGCUGGCGGCGUGCCUAAUACAUGCAAGUCGAGCGAGCUUGCCUAGAUGAUUUUAGUGCUUGCACUAAAUGAAACUAGAUACAAGCGAGCGGCGGACGGGUGAGUAACACGUGGGUAACCUGCCCAAGAGACUGGGAUAACACCUGGAAACAGAUGCUAAUACCGGAUAACAACACUAGACGCAUGUCUAGAGUUUGAAAGAUGGUUCUGCUAUCACUCUUGGAUGGACCUGCGGUGCAUUAGCUAGUUGGUAAGGUAACGGCUUACCAAGGCAAUGAUGCAUAGCCGAGUUGAGAGACUGAUCGGCCACAUUGGGACUGAGACACGGCCCAAACUCCUACGGGAGGCAGCAGUAGGGAAUCUUCCACAAUGGACGAAAGUCUGAUGGAGCAACGCCGCGUGAGUGAAGAAGGGUUUCGGCUCGUAAAGCUCUGUUGGUAGUGAAGAAAGAUAGAGGUAGUAACUGGCCUUUAUUUGACGGUAAUUACUUAGAAAGUCACGGCUAACUACGUGCCAGCAGCCGCGGUAAUACGUAGGUGGCAAGCGUUGUCCGGAUUUAUUGGGCGUAAAGCGAGUGCAGGCGGUUCAAUAAGUCUGAUGUG
rnacentral:rRNA from 1 species